AUCGCACACACACAUCCAAGCCCUAUCUUUUGCCUAUUAAAAGGCUUUCUUUCACUUCCUUUCACAGUUCAUUUUCCCUUCCAUUUUCCACUUCCUAAAGAAAUACACUUUGAGAGAAGAAAGAGCAAUUUUAAAGAAAAAAAGAGGCAAGAAGAAGAAGAUCAAGUUGGAAUCAUAAGAGCUUGUUCAAGAAUUUUGAAAAGUCUUUUCUCCCUUCUCUAGAGAUUUAUUUGACUUCGGUUUCGAUAAGGGAUUCUUUGGUAUUUAUUCUUACAUUUCUAAUAGCCCUUUUUAGUUAAAUUAAUUUGGAUUAUCUAUAAUUUUGAUGCAUUGACUUAUGUUCUUGU
rnacentral:lncRNA from 1 species